UCAAGGCUAUUUAGAAUUUGCGAGUGCUGGUGGUAGGUUGCCACGAAAUUUUGUUGUUCUCCUGAUUACCGAUUAUAAUACAUAAUAAUCUACGAAUCGACGAAGAUACACAGUAUAGUCAAGGUCGAGUUUUAUUUUUCAUUGCCCUUCAUGCGUAGCCGAAGAUAAGUUAAAUGAAUUUUUUGUUGUCGUCGUAUGAUAGACAGUGUUAGGGAAGGUGACUUCCCUCUCACUAUCUCAGUAAUAUGAUCUCUGCUUGCCAUAAUAUUUCGGUGUUCUGCUACAAAUAUACGUAGAUUUUAUUGUGUCGUCGUCCGUGUAGCCAUGAAUGAGUCGACUCUUGUUCCAAUAAAGUAAAAGAGGAAUCACGAAGCAGAUUGUGUUUUUACGUUAAUUUAAAUUUGUUUGCGUUUUGCAAUUUCAAUUAGGAGCAUGUUUAUUUGAAUAGAUUGCGCGCAAAGUAGUCUUAGAGUCGGUGUUCGUUCGUAUAAAAGUUUUAUUUAACUUCUUUUUUAUAGUCACAUAAACUAUACAGGUAACCACCAUAUAACGCGGUUACGAUAUAAUGCGAUCCUGAAAUCGUUAGAUUUUUAUCUUCUCACUUAUUUUAUUUGCUCCAAAACAUUUAUGCAUAUGAAGUAUAAAUCUUCUUUGUACAUUAACUUAUAUGAAUUAGAUGCAAAUGUAUUCCCGUUAGUUACGUCGGUGUUGUUUAUAUGAUAUAGAAAAAAAUUAAGACGAUUUAAAAAAAGAUUUGGAAAUUUACUUCGCCUUUUCUACUAGAUCUGAAUCUCGCGUAUCAGAAUUUAUAUAACAUGUCAUUUCUAUGGAACGGAUACUGUUACGUCGGUUACCUGUAUUUACAUAUAUAAAAUAAAAAUUAGGUAUUGGCGAAUUCAAUUCAUUGUACGCUUCUUAAUUAAUAAAUAAUUAUCGCGUAUUAGAGUCAGUGCAUCACGGAAGAUGAUCAAGAUCCUGAUACACUUCUUUUAUAGAAGAAUAUUGAUAAUCACAACCUUCUCAAGUCGAUUUUGAUCUACAGCACAAACGAGUAUUUUGGAACCACCGUAGAACUUCUUAAAUGAAAUGAUUUCUUCGAGCAUAUGUUGAAGGAAUUAAAUAGAUAUCACUAUCAAAUAAUAAAUAAGUAUAAAGGGUUAUUGAAGGCAAAGAAAUGGAAGAAUAUUAUACUCCCGGAAAUAAAGAAAUUUUUGAGUCUAAUCCUUUUGAUGGGAUAAGUGAAAAAAGACGUUCUCUCCGAUUCUUGGUCGACCGAGGCUAGUAUGGAAAUUCCAUUCUUUUCAAAAAUAACGAGCAGAAAUACAUUUACGUAGAUAAUGCGAAGCUGGUACUUUUGCAGCAAUAAGAACAUUCCUUCUUACUCUACAAACAGACUCGUAAGAAUUCAGUUAUUAACUAUCCGAAAAAGAGAUAUAAUGACGUGUACAACUAUCAUUAGGUGAAAGUAUCAUUUCUCAACGAGGCAAACUUUUAUUUAAAAUGUACUGCAAAAAUAACUGCAAAAAUCACAAAAUAUGGCAUAGAAAGACAGUUUUGUGAAGAUCACACUAGAUACAUCCGUAAUUUCGAAAUGUAUGGAUCCAAGAAAGAAAGAAGAUACUAUCCUUAUCGAGCCUUACGAAAAUAUAUGGCAUUACAUAUUUAUCAAGACAACUAUUAUAAUAGUGUAAAUACAGAAGAAUAAAAUGCGACUGUAUGGAAUUAUAUGAACAAGUAGAAGGUCUCAAAAAAAUACAACUUUUGGUUAAACCAUAUUUCAUAGAAAAGACGAUAUUAUAUUGCAGAUAUGGAAUUAUAAGAAACGAAAUAACGAUAUGAUUUCGAUAAUGACAAUACACUCAACACGACUACUAAAACCGAGCAGUAUAAAUAGAAAAUCUGCAGUGCCAGUUCAAAAGCAUGAAUGGAUAAUAGAUUAUAAUGAAUACAUGAAAAGGACAAAUCGCAUAAAUCAGUGUUUGUCUUAUUAUUCGAUUUUUAGAAAGACAAAACGUAGACAAUUCGAGUUAUAAGGUUUCUAAUGAAAUUCCGCACUUUUUAAUGUAUAUAAAGUAUGUACCGCAUUGAUUGGAAAGAAAAUUUUCUAUAAAAAAUUCUUGCAUGAAGCAUUAUUAUUAUUAUAGAUGGCGAAAUUAACAAGAAUGAAGAUUUACAUAUUACGUCGAGAGCCCGCAAAUAGGAUACCCAAAUUUGAUCACCAAGAGAGACUUUUAAAUUUUGCAACACAUAAACUUACGAAAAUCAUAACUCAUAGCGGAGAUAAAAACGUGUUUUCUUUCCAUUAAGCCAGUAAAAAGUACAUAGCAAAUUUACAUAUUUAUAUCGGCAAUUUCGGGUAGGUUGCGUUAAGAAAAAAAAAUAAGUGAGAGAUAUAUAGGGUAUUCCAGAUUUUAAUAUUCGAACUUUGUCAGUAUAUUCUAUGGUAUUAAAUAAGAAAAAAAUGUUAUGUAAACAUAAGUCGCAUAAAGCUUUAUUAAAAAGUUGUAACAAAAAUACAGAGUACAAGUAAUCGACUAGCUGUUAAUACGAGCAUUGGCUCGAAUAGGUCGAUGUAUUCACUACUCGAUAUCCUGAGUUAAUUAAUUAAUACUCCAUUUCAAAAUGUUUGUCAUUCUUGACAAUGCAUAAUUGACAGCGAUAGAAUGCAUUAUUAAUCUUUUGUAUUAAUUCGUUAUGUGAAUAUUCGCGUUUGAUACACUUUAUCUUUCAAAAUUCUCCACGGAUAGAAGUCGAGUGUCGUAAGAUAGGAUGACCUUGGUGACUAAGAGAUUGCUCUACCUCGACCUAUCCAUCUGUGAAAAA